GGAGCUUCUUGACUCCAUUGCACGACAUUUAAGUCGGCAUUAUCUCUAGCCUGUCGUCUAGUUAUGGCUUCAACAUGAAUUGAACCCAUAAGAUCAUCAAUAUUUAAGGUUUCACCAUUGAUGGCAGCUUGUUUUGCCAGUGAAUCGGCUAAUUCAUUACCAUCCUUGUCAAUACCUUCUAUUUUAGAAUGGCCUUUGGUUUACUUCCAAUAUAUGGUUAAACCAUUUUCCUUAACCAACU